GCAGGCAGAUCCUCUUCGGAGGUGACGCUUGUGGAACGAGCGGCGGACGGGUGAGUAACACGUGGGCAACCUGCCUGUAAGAUUGGGAUAACCCCGGGAAACCGGGGCUAAUACCGGAUAAUACUUUUCGUUGCAUAACGAGAAGUUGAAAGGCGGCUUUUAGCUGUCACUUACAGAUGGGCCCGCGGCGCAUUAGCUAGUUGGUAAGGUAACGGCUUACCAAGGCGACGAUGCGUAGCCGACCUGAGAGGGUGAUCGGCCACACUGGGACUGAGACACGGCCCAGACUCCUACGGGAGGCAGCAGUAGGGAAUCUUCCGCAAUGGACGAAAGUCUGACGGAGCAACGCCGCGUGAGUGAUGAAGGUUUUCGGAUCGUAAAACUCUGUUGUCAGGGAAGAACAAGUGCCGUUCAAAUAGGGCGGCACCUUGACGGUACCUGACCAGAAAGCCCCGGCUAACUACGUGCCAGCAGCCGCGGUAAUACGUAGGGGGCAAGCGUUGUCCGGAAUUAUUGGGCGUAAAGCGCGCGCAGGCGGUCCUUUAAGUCUGAUGUGAAAGCCCACGGCUUAACCGUGGAGGGCCAUUGGAAACUGGAGGACUUGAGUACAGAAGAGGAGAGUGGAAUUCCACGUGUAGCGGUGAAAUGCGUAGAGAUGUGGAGGAACACCAGUGGCGAAGGCGACUCUCUGGUCUGUAACUGACGCUGAGGUGCGAAAGCGUGGGGAGCGAACAGGAUUAGAUACCCUGGUAGUCCACGCCGUAAACGAUGAGUGCUAGGUGUUAGGGGGGUUUCCGCCCCUUAGUGCUGAAGUUAACGCAUUAAGCACUCCGCCUGGGGAGUACGGCCGCAAGGCUGAAACUCAAAAGAAUUGACGGGGGCCNGCACAAGCGGUGGAGCAUGUGGUUUAAUUCGAAGCAACGCGAAGAACCUUACCAGGUCUUGACAUCCUCUGCCAAUCCUAGAGAUAGGAUGUUCC
rnacentral:rRNA from 1 species